rnacentral:lncRNA from 1 species
AGCACAGCUCAAAGGAGAAAGGCAGGACUGCUGCAGCACCUGGCUUUCAGUGCAGCCCUCUCUGCCCUGUGGCAGCGCCCCGCAUGGAUUGACGCGCUCAGACAGGCCGAAAGAUUUGCACAGGAUCACAAACAGGAAAACUCUUUGAAAGAAGAUAAGGAAAGACCCUUCACUAUGAUGAAAGUUUCAAUUAUUCUCCUCUUAUACUUUCAAGAAGAAGGCAGAGGAGACAAAAGCAGCCAGGAAGGUGCUGAUGUCCUGUUAUAUCCUCUGUCAAGAAACUCCCUGCCAUUUUCCAGAGUGGCAUGCAGACUUGAAGUCAGUAUCUCCUGUAUUUAACAGACCAAUCUACGUGUAGUAUACUCCAGUAUAAAUGAGAAUUUUGUCAGGAUAUGAUUCAAGCUCCUAAGAAUGAACCAAGUAACCUACGGAGUAGCGAUUGAUUUCCCAAAGGGGUGCUCCCAACUGGAAGUCAGUUGGCAGCAUGCAGAAUUAAGGCUUUAAUUACUCCUGUACCAAAACAAGCUGGAACUGUCCUAUCACAUUCCUCUUCACCCCUGGAGAAAUACCAGGAUAGGUACCCAUAAGUUGAUGCAGCAGAUCCUUUUGGCCUGAGACACCAAAAGACUGCCUGUGCCUUAAGAAAGAACAUAGAAGUGAGAUGCAAUCCAGUUUUUCUGUAUUUUGCAAGCUGACUAAGUAUUUGGCCAAACCUGAACCUGAAAAGUGCAAAAUUCCACCCGCUCUCCAAAAGGAGCAGCUCUGGGUUUUGGUUUUGGGUCAUAGUUUUUUUUUUUUUUAAAAAAAGGAAGGUGCUUUCAUUUGCCUAACGCUUUUAUUAAUUUUUUUUACAGCCAUUUGGAGGUGUGAGAUUCUCCCUGUUUUCCACUUUAUUUCUCCUCUUUCUUUUUUGAUUAAGUAGAAGAGGCUGAAAGGAGGAAAUUCCAAAAGCAAGUUACUUGUGUGUUUUUUAAAUUAGUUUUGCUAUUUUGAUCCUCUCUUCUUUCCAAAAUAAAAUUUUACAAACAACCA